rnacentral:rRNA from 1 species
UUUUAUUUGAGAGUUUGAUCCUGGCUCAGGAUGAACGCUGGCGGCGUGCCUAACACAUGCAAGUUGAGCGAUUUACUUCGGUAAAGAGCGGCGGACGGGUGAGUAACGCGUGGGUAACCUACCCUGUACACACGGAUAACAUACCGAAAGGUAUGCUAAUACGGGAUAAUAUAUUUGAGAGGCAUCUCUUAAAUAUCAAAGGUGAACAAGUACAGGAUGGACCCGCGUCUGAUUAGUUAGUUGGCAAGGUAACGACUUACCAAGGCGACGAUCAGUAGCCGACCUGAGAGUGGGAUCUACCACAUUGGAACUGAGACACGGUCCAAACUCCUACGGGAGGCAGCAGGGGGGAAUAGUGCACAAUGGGCGAAAGCCUGAUGCAGCAACGCCGAGUGAGUGAUGAAGGCCUUCGGGUCGUAAAGCUCUGUCCUCAAGGAAGCUAAUGACGGUACUUGAGGAGGAAGCCCCGGCUAACUACGUGCCAGCAGCCGCGGUAAUACGUAGGGGGCUAGCGUUAUCCGGAUUUACUGGGCGUAAAGGGUGCGUAGG